rnacentral:rRNA from 1 species
UACGAAGGGGGCGAGCGUUGUUCGGAGUUACUGGGCGUAAAGAGCUCGUAGGCGGUGUGUCGCGUCGGCCGUGAAAACCUGCAGCUUAACUGUGGGCUUGCGGUCGAUACGGGCAUCACUGGAGUUCGGCAGGGGAGACUGGAAUUCCUGGUGUAGCGGUGAAAUGCGCAGAUAUCAGGAGGAACACCGGUGGCGAAGGCGGGUCUCUGGGCCGAUACUGACGCUGAGGAGCGAAAGCGUGGGGAGCGAACAGG